CAUGGACGAAGAUGGAGGAACAGCAACACGUAUUCAACGACCUGCGAGAAGUCGAGUCUUUUAUAGAACAAAACGAAGCCGCCACCAUGACUAAGUUUGUGGUGUACGGGACACAUGCUUCGUUUUUUGAUAAUAUGUGGCAACCGACGUCCAACACCCGUGUGUUCUGGGAGUGGAGUAGGGGGAGAGGGCACCCCGACCAUCGCCUUCACCGGCACCCCGUUCAUGUUCAUCGGGACGAAGGAGAUGGGAUGUCAUCUGGGGGAGAGACAUCUCCGAGAGCAAGAAGCGGAAGGAUAAACCCGACGUGUUGAAUGAUAACGCCGGUACCAGGAAACGAAGAAAGCGUAAGAGUGUGCAAGAUUGCAAAAAAAUCGGCUGUCCUGCAAUUCUGACCGUCACCAGAAUCGCAGCUUUCCCCCAGUUCAAGAUUGUGGACAAUAAGGACCGGACAAAGCGGGCGGCUUCAGCCCGGCUGAAACAGGCCCUGCAGAGAGACCCCGUGAUCUGGGAGAACGUUUACAUCAUCAAGACUCCGUCGCCAAGCGCCCACACGGGCCACGCCGUCAACGGGGAGCUCAUAUGGUCCAGGAAGACGUUUGUGAGGAAGGAAUGUUCUGAUCUCCUGAAACACCUCACGGAGAAGGUGCAUCUGGUGGAGGAGCAGAGGGGGCUGGAGCACAUCAAGAAAAAGCUGCUGGAUCUCAUGGACGACGUUCAGCCCAUGAUUCCACUCGAAGCUCGGAUUCCUCUGAGUGACGUUUGUGAGGGAGAGAAACGACUCAAAGGCUCGUCCUCCAAAGCAAAGACUGUGGGCGGCCUGAACACGAACUCAGUCAACUGUGGAAGCACUGAGGUCCACCUGCAGGACCGAGGAGGGACACAUUCCUGCCUCCCAACAUGGUUGGUUCAUGUUCUGAUUAUGUUUGAUGGAGGUGAAUCUAGUUGACGUCCUCCAUUUGAAUUCCACUCCCGGAGGUUUUCCUCAACAGCCGUUCUAGCCACUGUUCCAAUACAGUCAAUUUGGGAUUAGCCAUCGUAUGGCCCUGCGACUGAAGAUGCCUGGCUGAAUUAUUUAAUUUCAUUAGUGAAGGUCUAAAGGGUUGACUCAUUUCACACAGUAUUCCACCCGCUUGACCACUGCUAGACUUCCGCUCCAAGUUUAAGUGAAGCAAUAGAAGAAAAUAAUUUGAACGGAGCCACUGAGCUGAACAAUGCAUAGUAUAGCUUAUUGGGGAAAUGAUUGUGCUGUGUCAAAACAUCUCCCGUACUGCCAUUAUGCUGUAACAGUAAUAAAUUAGUUAUGUUCUUUGCACAUAAGUCCCCCUUCAUCUUGCUGUCAUCUUUGCCAAAUGAUCAUCUGACUAAUUGACUUGCCUUGAUGUAUAUACUCUAUUCAUACAAAUGUGC
ensembl:lncRNA